rnacentral:rRNA from 1 species
UACGUAGGGGGCAAGCGUUGUCCGGAAUCAUUGGGCGUAAAGAGCGUGUAGGCGGCCAGAAAAGUCCGCUGUGAAAACUCGAGGCUCAACUUCGAGCUGUCGGUGGAAACUUUCUGGCUAGAGUCCGGAAGAGGAGAAUGGAAUUCCUGGUGUAGCGGUGAAAUGCGCAGAUAUCAGGAAGAACACCCGUGGCGAAGGCGGGUUCUCUGGGACGGUACUGACGCUGGAGACGCGAAAGCCGUGGGGAGCGAACAGG